AAACUACAAGGAGGAUAUCAACAGUUUUCUAGUGUUCUUUGCCUGCAGUGGUGUAUAAGCAACUCUGCAAUCCAAUUUGUGAACAGUACAAGCUGCAAUGGGAGCUGUCAUUCUGCAUCACUCAGCCAAGGCCCCCAGAUGCUCACCAGCCACAAAGCUGACUACAUGUCACCGGAGGUCACCUCAAACAGGUGAAAUGUGUUUGCGAUCAUCACUGUCAGACUGUCAUAGAACUGCCAGCAAGCCGGAAGAAUCUGUUAUUCACACAGUCCUAGUCACAAACACAGGGGAAGGUGACUACAUAACUGCUUACAGCUAACUGCAACAUUUAUUCUAAUUAUAUGCAAUGCCAUUUUG